AUGCAAGUGUAAGUUCACGCCACGCAUUAGAACGGGCGAAACCGCGAAUGGCUCAGGAACCGGACCUAAUCCUCGGGACCGUAUUCCUCCUCGGAGGCGAUGGAUAACUGUGGCAAUUCUAGAGCUAAUACAUGUGACACAGGCCGCGAUCGGUCGGCGCGUUGUCGUCGCCUCGCCUUGCGCGCUGGCACCCGCGUCGGCCGUUCCGGGUCGCGGCGCUACAUAUUAGACUGAGACCGAUGCGCGUCAUUCCGUCCUCCCGUCGUCGGCGUCGGCGUCAGCUGUCGUCGGCGGCGGGGCUCAUAGGGCGGCGCGCUCCGCUUUGGUGACUCUGGAUAACUCACUGGUCGAUCGCACGGGCUUUACGCCCGGCGACGGGUCUCUCGAGGGUCCGCCCUAUCAACUGUCGACGGUCGGUUAAGUGCCUACCGUGGUUACUACGGGUAACGGGGAAUCGGGGUUCGAUUCCGGAGAGGGAGCAUGCGAAACGGCUACCACAUCCAAGGAAGGCAGCAGGCGCGCAAAUUACCCACUCCCGGCACGGGGAGGUAGUGACGAAAAAUAACGACGCGGGACUCUGUCGAGGCCCCGCGAUCGGAAUGAGUACACUUCAAAUCCGUUAACGAGGACCAACCGGAGGGCAAGUCUGGUGCCAGCAGCCGCGGUAAUUCCAGCUCCGGUAGCGUAUAUUAAAGUUGUUGCGGUUAAAAAGCUCGUAG
rnacentral:rRNA from 1 species